CAAUAGCGUAUAUUAAAGUUGUUGCAGUUAAAAAGCUCGUAGUUGGAUUUCUGAUCGAGACAUCAGGUCGGGCCCGAGAGGAUCAUGUACUUUGAUUUUGUUUUGAUCAUCCUUGGGGAGAGCAUUUCUGGCAUUCAGUUGUCGGGAUUGGGAUCCUCAUCGUUUACUGUGAAAAAAUUAGAGUGUUCAAAGCAGGCCUCGGCCUCUGAAUACAUUAGCAUGGAAUAAUAAGAUAGGACUUUGGUGGUCUAUUUUGUUGGUUUGCACGCCAAAGUAAUGAUUAAUAGGGAUAGUUGGGGGUAUUCGUAUUCAAUUGUCAGAGGUGAAAUUCUUGGAUUUAUGGAAGACGAACUACUGCGAAAGCAUUUACCAAGGAUGUUUUCAUUAA
rnacentral:rRNA from 1 species